CUUAACCCACUGAGCAGCAAGUUUUGCUGCUGUAUACACCAACUGUUCCAGUAUGUUCUUUUUCUACAAUACAUUGCAAAGCAGCUGUUUCUGGAAAGUCGGCUCGGGUACUUCUAGCUCCACCUUGAGAACACUGGGAGUAUGGGCUUACAGCAGAAGAGGAAAGUGGUGAGGUCAGCAGCUGAGGCGUGGAUGGGGAGAAGAGAGAACGGAAACUCAUUGAGAAAUACAUUGUGUCAGCUGGGAAACCUGACAGGGUCAUUGGCCACCAGGCCACGAGGACAAAGGGAGCAGAAUCGAUGAACAGGAUUUCAGAUGGCCGGAAAAGAAAAAGCAGGAAGUAACACAACAAGCUCAGAAGAAAGCCUCACCAACAGAUGGAAUGAAAUGGAAGAGAAAAUAUCAAGUCUUGAAGACAAAGUAGAAGAAAUGGAUCAAUCAUCCAAAGACUAUGUGAACUAUAAAUUAAAAAUCUAGGCAUUCAGGGAAUCUGGGACAAUAUGAAGAGACCAAACCUAUGAAUAAUUGAUAUAGAGGAAGGAGAAGAAACUCAAGUGAAAGCCACAGAAAAUAUCUUUUAACAAAAAUCAUAGAAUAAAAAUUUCAAAUCUA
rnacentral:lncRNA from 1 species